GAUGAACGCUGGCGGCGUGCUUAACACAUGCAAGUCGAACGAUGAAGCCCAGCUUGCUGGGUGGAUUAGUGGCGAACGGGUGAGUAACACGUGAGUACCCUGCCCUUGACUCUGGGAUAAGCCUGGGAAACUGGGUCUAAUACCGGAUAGGAACGUCCACCGCAUGGUGGGUGGUGGAAAGAUUUAUCGGUCAUGGAUGGACUCGCGGCCUAUCAGCUUGUUGGUGAGGUAAUGGCUCACCAAGGCGACGACGGGUAGCCGGCCUGAGAGGGUGACCGGCCACACUGGGACUGAGACACGGCCCAGACUCCUACGGGAGGCAGCAGUGGGGAAUAUUGCACAAUGGGCGAAAGCCUGAUGCAGCGACGCCGCGUGAGGGAUGACGGCCUUCGGGUUGUAAACCUCUUUCAGUAGGGAAGAAGCGAAAGUGACGGUACCUGCAGAAGAAGCACCGGCUAACUACGUGCCAGCAGCCGCCGUAAGAC
rnacentral:rRNA from 1 species